rnacentral:rRNA from 1 species
UACGUAGGGUGCAAGCGUUGUCCGGAAUUAUUGGGCGUAAAGAGCUCGUAGGCGGUUUGUCGCGUCGGCUGUGAAAUCCCGAGGCUCAACCUCGGGCCUGCAGUCGAUACGGGCAAACUAGAGUGUGGUAGGGGAGACUGGAAUUCCUGGUGUAGCGGUGAAAUGCGCAGAUAUCAGGAGGAACACCUGUGGCGAAAGCGGCUCACUGGACCAUUACUGACGCUGAUGCACGAAAGCUAGGGGAGCAAACAGG